rnacentral:rRNA from 1 species
GACGAACGCUGGCGGCGUGCCUAAUACAUGCAAGUAGAACGCUGAAGAGAGGAGCUUGCUCUUCUUGGAUGAGUUGCGAACGGGUGAGUAACGCGUAGGUAACCUGCCUUGUAGCGGGGGAUAACUAUUGGAAACGAUAGCUAAUACCGCAUAACAAUGGAUGACCCAUGUCAUUUAUUUGAAAGGGGCAAAUGCUCCACUACAAGAUGGACCUGCGUUGUAUUAGCUAGUAGGUGAGGUAACGGCUCACCUAGGCGACGAUACAUAGCCGACCUGGGAGGGUGAUCGGCCACACUGGGACUGAGACACGGCCCAGACUCCUACGGGAGGCAGCAGUAGGGAAUCUUCGGCAAUGGGGGCAACCCUGACCGAGCAACGCCGCGGGAGUGAAGAAGGGUUUCGGAUCGGAAAGCUCUGUUGUAAGUCAAGAACGAGUGUGAGAGUGGAAAGUUCACACUGUGACGGUAGCUUACCAGAAAGGGACGGCUAACUACGUG